CAACUCUGGUUUCUCUUCAAUCACGCCCAAGGUUUUCGCCUUUACUAAAGACUUCCGUGGAGAGCAACGCUUACGAGUUCACGUAUUUUUGGACGGGCUUUGCUCCCGGCAGAGCC
rnacentral:snRNA from 1 species